rnacentral:lncRNA from 1 species
AUAGGUGGAGGAGCCAAGUAGAAGAGGAACAAGCAAAGAAAAGUGUGGAGAAGGGGUCGGCCACCAUGAUUUUGCUUACUACUUAGGAAGUUUGUUAGGCAUUUAAAGAUAGUCUUUAAACUUUCUUAUUUUGUUAAGAACUUUUUAAGUGGCUUCAUAUGAUGGAAGACCACUAUUAGUGCCUACAUGAAGGUAUAUAAUUAGUCUCUAAAUGUAUAGAGCUAAUUCUUUUUGUAUUAAACAUUAUGAAUGUUUGAAUUAUCAUAUCAAUGUAAUGUGAUGAAUGCCUUCUAAUAUAUUAUUUCCUUAAAGUAGUGUUAUGAAUUGAAUAUUGUCUUGUUGUAUCCUAGUUGAGAUACAAGAUUUAUAUCACUUAUUGUAAUGUGAUGACCAAACUUUAGACUUAUCAAUUAUGGAUAGAUCUCACAUGUAGGACAUAGAAGGAUACAAUGAAUCUUUAGAUUUGGUUCCAAUUGUCUACCUAUGAGUUCUAUAAGAAUUGACAAAGAUCUAGAGAUUCCUUUCUUGAUGAAAAGGAAGAUCACAUUAUAAUGAUUUAAGUAAUAAGAAAAACGUUGCUUACAUGGUUAUCACUUAAACCACAAUAAUCAAAGAUCACUCUUGAUUCAAUUAGUAGUUUUGAACAACUAAUUGGGCAUUCUUUAAAUUGUUUUAAAAUGUCAAUUGUGUUAGUGAUUAAACCAAGAAAGAAGUGUCUAAAUCUAUAAAAUGUUUAAAGACUUUAGUCACUUAAUAACGAGACAUUAACUUAGUGAAGAUUGAAACAAACAAGCUUGAAAGGUUUUAAAGCUACUACACAAUGUCCUCUACCCGUAUACUCCACGUUUAUACAUUUUGAAUGUAUGAAGUGAUUUCUCAUUAAAGUCAUGAGAAAUAGGGGGAGGUGUGAAAAUGGAUAUAAACUUAAAUAUGAUUGGUUUAUAGUUGUCUAAAGAAUAAUAGUACUUGACUAUUAUUAAGAGUUUGUAAUUUUAAUUAUUAAAGGACUCAAGCUCUUCAAACGUUAAAAUUCUAUGUUGUGUAACAUUCUAAAGAAUAGUCUUUGAAUGUUGGUUUCAUCAACCUAACAUAAAAUGGUUAUAUGUUGGGAGUUGUCCAUCAUUCUCUUUUAUGAGAACAAGCUAAUAACAAAGCCCAUGGACAAAUUUGAUGAAACAAAGGGAA